UACGAAGGGUGCAAGCGUUACUCGGAAUUACUGGGCGUAAAGCGUGCGUAGGUGGUUUGUUAAGUCUGAUGUGAAAGCCCUGGGCUCAACCUGGGAAUUGCAUUGGAUACUGGCAGGCUAGAGUGCGGUAGAGGGUAGUGGAAUUCCCGGUGUAGCAGUGAAAUGCGUAGAGAUCGGGAGGAACAUCUGUGGCGAAGGCGGCGACCUGGACAGAUAUUGACGCUGAGGUGCGAAAGCGUGGGGAGCAAACAGG
rnacentral:rRNA from 1 species